GACGAACGCUGGCGGCGUGCUUAACACAUGCAAGUCGAGCGAUGAAGCUCCUUCGGGAGUGGAUUAGCGGCGGACGGGUGAGUAACACGUGGGUAACCUGCCUCAUAGAGGGGAAUAGCCUUCCGAAAGGAAGAUUAAUACCGCAUAAGAUUGUAGUACCGCAUGGUACAGCAAUUAAAGGAGCAAUCCGCUAUGAGAUGGACCCGCGUCGCAUUAGCUAGUUGGUGAGGUAACGGCUCACCAAGGCGACGAUGCGUAGCCGACCUGAGAGGGUGAUCGGCCACAUUGGGACUGAGACACGGCCCAGACUCCUACGGGAGGCAGCAGUGGGGAAUAUUGCACAAUGGGGGAAACCCUGAUGCAGCAACGCCGCGUGAGUGAUGACGGUCUUCGGAUUGUAAAACUCUGUCUUCAGGGACGAUAAUGACGGUACCUGAGGAGGAAGCCACGGCUAACUACGUGCCAGCCGCCGCAGUAACAC
rnacentral:rRNA from 1 species